CUGUGCUUGUCUCUCUGGUGAUGUUCUUCAUCUGUACCAAGAUCACCCACAGCACCCGCCUUUUUCAGAGAUCACCCAGUGACUAUUACUUUCUCGGUGUGUCUGAUCAGGCCUUCGUCGAUCCAGUUGUGUGGCUCACAGCUCUGCUCACUGUCUUGGUAGCUGUUUUGCCCUCACUGACUGGGCAUGCCCUCACUGUCAUCCUCACCAGCCAUAACAGACACAAGGUCCACGGCUUGCCCCAUCAUCCAGUGGAGCUGAAGUCGAUGUUCAAAAGAGGAACGUCUCGCCGCCGCUCCUCUUACGCCAUCUCUCAGGGAGCCGGUGCUGGACGCUACAUCAACUCAGGGACCCAUAUCCGCAGCACAACGUUGUUGGUAGAUAAGACGGUGACAGCAAGCAAUAAUCCCUCUGAAUCACAAGCCCAAAUUCACAUGAAGGACAAUAAUAAUGCGCCAAAUGGCACGAAUACC
rnacentral:lncRNA from 1 species